AAGUGUCGGUGACCAGGGGAGUGGCUCAGAACAACAAAGGGUCAUGACCAGAGCUAGCCUGACCUGGACAUCACAUACCAGUGUUAGUGGCCCGACAUCAAGUCAGUUACCUUUCUGAGCGUGGUUCCAUAACUCACUGCUGGGGUCAGAACUGCUUUGUGGGCCCAAGCCUGUGGGAGCUGAAGAAGUUAGACACAGGGGUGGGCACAGGGGUGGGAGGUGAGGGCAGAGAGGGGCAGCGCCUCACCUCCAGUCCUCUGGAGUCCCAGCCUGGAUGAUCUCUAGGUGACCUCGUUUGUUUUUUGUUUGUUCUGUCUGGGUUGUUGUUUUUUUUUUUUUCUCACAGUGCAGCUCAACAAGGACACGGUGUGCAAACCUUGCCUUGCAGGCUACUUCUCUGAUGCCUUUUCCUCCACGGACAAAUGCAGACCCUGGACCAACUGUACCUUCCUUGGAAAGAGAGUAGAACAUCAUGGGACAGAGAAAUCCGAUGUGGUUUGCAGUUCUUCUCUGCCAGCUAGAAAACCAC
rnacentral:sRNA from 1 species